rnacentral:lncRNA from 1 species
UAGCAUUGGAGACAAGGAUAAGAGUUUGUUUGAAAGAGAAAAGAACAGGCUUUGAAGUAAGCCUAAAAGCGUUUAACUAGAAAUAGUAUUUCGAAAGUUAUUAAGCACAAAAGAUGAAUUGCGUUUAUUUUGAUACACCCUGUAUAACUAAACUUAACCAUGCAAAAUUUUCGCUGGUUUUACUGGAUGUAAUUGGUAAUUCCAGCUAGCUUUUAGUUUAUGCCUGCAGGGAAUGAUGGGAAGUGAGGUAUCGUAUUGCUGAUUAUACUGAAAAAUUUCAAUAAAAACUACCGAAACAACUGAAAUAUUUCAAUAUUUACAAGUAUAAGCNNNNNNNNNNNNNNNNNNNNAUAAGCUUUCGAAAAUCGCGAUAUUUACUAUGAAAUGUAAUUGGGACGCGCGUCCCAAAAACAAUCUUUUAAUCAGUAAUUUCAUAAUUUUCGAAAGCUUAUUAUUCGAAGGAUAUUCAUGUAAACGUCUUCAAACUUUGUAUAUAUACUUACUAAUUUUGAGGUGGUCUUUUUAGUUAUUUGGUUCAUUUCUCAAUUUGGGCACUUUUUAACACUCGUCGCCAGUCCACUCAUCAACUUCGGAAUGGCUAAUUUGUAAAUCAAAAUUAUAUUGCUGACGAAUAUCAUUACUUUCAUUCUCGUUUCCCGAGCCUGCGAUCCUCGGGAAAGAACGCGAGCCUCUGGGGUAAUCCGUUGCCGGAAGCCAUGAGGAAUCCUGGCUAAGAUUGAACUACGCAUUCCAUUUCAACGGCCAAUCAGAUUCCUCCCUGAAACGGAUUAUCCCAGAACCUCGCGUUCCUUCCCGAGGAUCGCAGGUUCGGGGAACGAGAUUGCAUUACUUUUUGAGUUGUAAAAUGAAAAACAAAUUCUUAAAAGAGUGAUAAGGAUCUAGUAAUGAUUGACGGAUGCAUUACAAAAUGUACAGCUAAAUAUGUAUAUAACUAAACUUAAUCAUGCAAAAUUUUCGCUGGUUUUACUGGAUGUAAUUGGUAAUUCCAGCUAGCUUUUAGUUUAUGCCUGCAGGGGAUGAUGGGAAGUGAGGUAUCGUAUUGCUGAUUAUACUGAAAAAUUUCAAUAAAAACUACCGAAACAACUGAAAUAUUUCAAUAUUUACAAGUAUAAGCUAUCACUCCGUAUUUACACGGCCACCAUUUUUAUUUUUUCAGCAUAAUCACCAAUGUGGGAAGAGAUUAUUUCGCUGGCCUCAAAGUGACAAAACGUAACAAAGCAACGGUUUUACUAACACUAACCCUACUCCAAACACCAACUCUGACCCUAACCUAACCCUACCACAAAUUCGUUUCUAAACCAAUCUUGAAGAAAAAAGUUUUGACGAAAUGUCAUUCUGAGGUCAGCGAAAUAGUUGAUACCACCAAUGCGAUACCUUACGUCAGUUUACGUCCCAUCGUCCCCUGCACGCAUAAACUAAAAGCUGGAAUUUCCUAUUGGUUAAGGCUGUUUUCCACUUCAACCAUAUCCCUGGACGUAUAUAUAGCAUUCUCUUUUGUGUCGAAGAUCCACUCUAGUGCUCAGGAAUCAAAGAAAUACUAUACGCUUCGGCACGAUACGGUUGAAGUGGAAAAUGGUUCCGUAUUUUAGUAUCCUAUGUAGGUAAUCAUAGGGUGAUGCGGUUUUUCGGUAAACCGGAAAAAAACGAUUUUUUUUUAAAACCGAAUUACUCGAUGUUACUUUUGGAGAAAAACCGGAAAAACCGAAAAAAGCCCGCUGCAUCCCCGCGUAGCCGUCUAUCCAAAGAGAUUGACCGCUAUUUCUCGGCAUUCCCAGUGAUAGACGGAGAUGACGAUCCACUUCAAUGGUGGAAAUUAAAUGCAAAGGAACUACCGUUGCUCUGCCAGUUAUCGAGAGGGUAUCUUGCCAUCCAAGCAAGCAGUUCGCCGUCGGAGAGACUUUUCAGUAAAGCGGGGCAAGUUAGCACGCCGGCACGAGCACAACUUAAACCUGAGAAAGUUGACAAACUUGUGUUCCUGGCGGAGAACUUAUAGUGGUUUACGCAAUAUUUCAAUAUUUGUACAUAGUUUAUUGUAAAAAUUAUAUCUUGUACACUGCAUGUUCCUUUUAUACUUCGUAGCAAGGGUUAAUAUAAUUGUUUUUUAAACCGAAGUCUUGCGUGAGUACUGAGUAGCGUGUUGUGUCUUUUUUACCUUAGUUUCGAUUUUCGAACGUAUUUUUUUAAAAAACCGGUUCACUCGGUUUUUUCGGGUUUUUUUGGUCGGUUUUCGGUUUUUUGUAGAAACCGCCUCACCCUAGGUAAUCAUCAUCAGUAAUCAUCAUCAUUAAUUUUCAUCUGUGAUGGAAAUUAAAUUAUUUUUUUCAUUAGUUUUACAAUAACAAAUUGAAGGCACAGACAACA